CCUACGGGAGGCAGCAGUGGGGAAUAUUGCACAAUGGGGGGAACCCUGAUGCAGCAACGCCGCGUGAGUGAAGCAGCAUUUCGGUGUGUAAAGCUCUAUCAGCAGGGAAGAAAAUGACGGUAACUGACUCAAGAGCCCCCGCUAACUACGUGCCAGCAGCCGCGGUAAUACGUAGGGGGCGAGCGUUAUCCGGAUUUACUGGGUGUAAAGGGAGCGUAGACGGUGCAGCAAGGCUGAAGAGAAAGGUCGGGGCCCAACCGCGGGACUGCAUUGGAAAAUGUUUAACUGGAGUACAGGAGGGGUAAGCGGAAUUCCUGGUGGAGCGGUGAAAUGCGUAGAUAUUAGGAGGAACACCAGUGGCGAAGGCGGCUUACUGGACUGUAACUGACGUUGAGGCUCGAAAGCGUGGGGAGCGAACAGGAUUAGAUACCCUGGUAGUC
rnacentral:rRNA from 1 species